rnacentral:rRNA from 1 species
AUAGGAAAUUAAGAGCAUAAGGUGGAUGCCUUGGUUCAAGGAAGCGAUGAAAGACGUGAUCAGGCUGCGAAAAGUUUCGGGGAGGUGCCUAAUAACCUUCGAUCCGGAAAUCUCUGAAUGAGGAAACUCUCCCGAAGUAAUGUUCGGGAAUCUAGGGAGCAUAUCUUUAGAAGCAAACCUGGGGAAGUAAAACAUUUCAGUACCCAGAGGAAAAGAAAACAAUGUUUAUUCCGCAAGUAGCGGCGAGCGAAAACGGAGGAGCCCAAACCAUGUGUAGCAAUACAGAUGGGGUUGUAGCCCAAGAAUGUAGAAUUAUCUAGAACAGUUACAAAAGUUAAUUAUAGGUUAAGCUAUUGGAAAGUAGCACCAUAGAAGGUGAUAGUCCCGUAACCGAAAUCUUUAACUCUGUUUUAUUCUUGGUGCUGAGUAGUUCGAGACACGAAUAGCUCGGAUGAAUCUGCCGGCACUAACCGGUAAGGCUAAAUAUUCCUUGAGACCGAUAGUGAACUAGUACCGCGAGGGAAAGGUGAAAAGAACCCUGGAAAGGGAGUGAAAUAGAACUGAAACCUUAUGUUUACAAAGAGUGGAAGAGGACUUGUUCCUCGACCGCGUGCCUAUUGAAGAAUGAGCCAACGAGUCUUAUUAUCCAGCCGGCUAAGCAGCAUAAAGUUGUGGAGCCAUAAGCGAAAGCGAGUGUGAAUAGCGCGAAAUAAUGGUUGAAUGAUAAGGACCCGAAGCCGGAUGAGCUACCCAUGAGCAGGGUGAAGCUUGUCGAAAGACAAGUGGAAGCCCGAACCAGUAAGUCGUGCGACUCUUUUGGAUGACUUGUGGGUUGGAGUGAAAAGCUAAUCGAAUUCGGUAAUAGCUGGUUCUCGUCGAAAUAUUUUUUGGAAUAGCGUCAGGUGGUCCCUUUGGGGGUAGAGCACUGGAAGGUCUUGAUUAGUGGAAACACGACAAUACCUAUCAAACUCCGAAUACCAAAGAUUAAUAGCCUGGCAGUCAGACUCCGGGGGCGAAGCUCCGGUGGUCUAAAGGGAAACAGCCCAGAUCUAAAAUUAAGGUCCCUAAGUAUAUGCUAAGUGUAAGCGAGGAUGUGAAGUUUCAUUGACAAUGAGGAUGUUGGCUUAGAAGCAGCCACCAUUGAAAGAAAGCGUGACAGCUCACCCAUCGAGAGACUCUGCGCCACAGAUGAUCGGGACUCAAGCAUAUCACCGAAGUUUAGGGAUUGUAUAGCAAUAUACAAUCGGUAGACGAGUGUUCCACUCUGCGUUGAAGCGAAAGGGGUGACCCAUCGUGGAGCGUGUGGAAGUAAGAAUGUUGGCACAAGUAACCGCAAUGGAGGUGAGAUCCCUCCACGCCGAAAGAAUAAGGUUUCCUUCGCAAUGAUUGUCAGCGAAGGGUUAGUCGGGCCUAAGGGGAUGGCAAUGCGCCGAACCCGAUGGACAUAAGAUUAAUAUUUCUUAACUUGGUAUAAAUGUGAUGGAAUGACGCAUUGUUGUACUCUAUGCCUCUUAUCAGAUUGAGGUCUUUAUAAUGAUUAGCGAGGGCAUGUAAAUCAGCUCUCGAAUACUGAGAGUUAUGAAGCGAAGCUUGUAGCAAUACUGGUGAAGAUAGAGGAGCACGGUGCCGAGAAAAGUUUCUACAUCUGCUGAAUAGCAGAUAUUGUGUAGUGAUUAAUGGGUCUAGUCAUCUAUGAUCUAUUAACCACUAUCAACAAUACUUUAAGUUUAUAUCAAACCGUACCGCAAACCGACACAGGUAUUCAGGUCGAGUAGACCAAGGCGAACGAGUGAUUUCUCCCUAAGGAACUAGGCAAAAAAGCAGCCGUAAGUUAGCAAUAAGGCUUGCCUGUAGCAAUACAGGCCGCAGUGAAAGUUUCUCUGGCAACUGUUUAUCUAAAACACAGCUCCAUGCGAACUCGUAAGAGUAUGUAUAUGGGGUGACACCUGACCAAUGCGGGAAGGUCAAAUAUCGGUGGUCACAUGGUGAGUUUGAAAUUUAUUUUGAGCUCACCAUGUGGCUGACUGAUAUAAGCCCCCGUCAAUGUCGGCGAUAACUAUAAUCGUCCUAAGGUAGCGAAGUUCCUUGUCUGGUAAGUUCAGACGUGCACGAAUGGUGUAAUGACUGGGGAACUGUCUCAGGGAGUAGCUCGGUGAAAAUACAGUGGCGGUAAAGAUGCCGCCUACCUGCAGAUAGACGAAAAGACCCCGUGAGCUUUACUCUAGCUUGGUAUUGUGUUUAUUAAUUUAUUGCGUAGAAUAGUGGUGAGACUUUGAAGUAUAGAUUUCGGUUUAUAUGGAGUCGACAGUGAAAUAGCCAUCUGUAUCUUGGUAAACACUAACCUAAACGGAAAAAACGUUUAGAGACAGUAUCUGGUGGGGAGUUUUACUGGGGUGGUACCCUCCUAAAAGGUAACGGAGGGGUUUAUUAAGGUCAGUUAGGCGCGAAUGGAAACCGUGCCGAUAGUGUAAUGGCAUAAACUGGCUUGACUGUGAGACGGGCAUGUCGAGCAGAUACGAAAGUAGAACAUAGUGAACCGACGGUACGCAUUAGAUGCGGCCGAAGAUUAACGGAUAGAAGCUACCACGGGGAUAACAGGCUAGUUCCACCUAAGCGUCCAUAGCGACGGUGGAGUUCGGCACCUCGAUGUCGGCUCAUCUUAUCCUGGGGGUGAAGAAGCUCCCAAGGGUAUGGCUGUUCGCCAUUUAAAAAGAUACGCGAGCUGGGUUCAAACCGUCGUGAGACAGGUUGGUCUCCUAUCUACUGCAGGCGCUUGAAUAUUGAGAAGAUUUGUCUCUAGUACGAGAGGACCGAGAUGAACUGACCUCUGGUGUGUGGGCUCUGACGCUAGUUGGACCGCCCAGUAGCCAAGUCGGGAAUGGAUAAGUUCUGAAAGCAUCUAAGAACGAAGCCAACUUCAAGAUUAGUAUUCUAUGAGGGUCGUAAGAGAUGAUUACGUUGAUAGGAUCUAAGUGUAAGUGCAGCAAUGUACUCAGCUGAGGAUUACUAAUAACCCGAUUCCUAUUAGGAAA